ACCAGCUACUAGAAGGAAAGUUUUGCCCCUGGAAUCUCAUUUGACUUCAGCAGACUUCAGAGAACAGGUGGUCUAACAGCAUGGAAGGAAACAUGGUGCUGAAAAAAAGAGAGAAAAAGGGAAGAUGCU